rnacentral:rRNA from 1 species
AUUGAACGCUGGCGGCAUGCCUUACACAUGCAAGUCGAACGGUAACGGGCCUUCGGGUGCCGACGAGUGGCGAACGGGUGCGUAAUACAUCGGAACGUGCCCGAUCGUGGGGGAUAACGAGGCGAAAGCUUUGCUAAUACCGCAUACGAUCUACGGAUGAAAGCGGGGGACCGCAAGGCCUUGCGCGGACGGAGCGGCCGAUGGCAGAUUAGGUAGUUGGUGGGAUAAAAGCUUACCAAGCCGACGAUCUGUAGCUGGUCUGAGAGGAUGAUCAGCCACACUGGGACUGAGACACGGCCCAGACUCCUACGGGAGGCAGCAGUGGGGAAUUUUGGACAAUGGGCGCAAGCCUGAUCCAGCCAUGCCGCGUGCAGGAUGAGGGCCUUCGGGUUGUAAACUGCUUUUGUACGGAACGAAAAGCCUUCUUUUAAUACAGGAGGGUCAUGACGGUACCGUAAGAAUAAGCACCGGCUAACUACGUG